CAUUACAGGAAUUUUUACCAGCUGAGAGUGUGCAGAGCAGUUAUCCACAGCUCCUAGCAAGUAGCUGGAUGCAUGGAGCAGCUUUUCUACCUGUCUAAUAUAAUUGUCAACUAUAAAGUAAUUAUAAAAUGGCAGAAUUUGGGGACCAGCAGCCAGCAUGAGAAGCACCUGGGACUCAACAACAGGCUCCACCAAAGGAACCAGGUGGCUGGACCCUCCCCCAACCCUGCAGGACCAGGCCAUGGGGAAUGACAGCCACACAGACGGACCCGGACUAGGAUGCACAUGAUGGACAGGUGAGACUAGAGAGAUGG
rnacentral:lncRNA from 1 species